CCCAGCCAUACCACUCCGGGCAUCUACCCUGAGCAGCACAAGCCAGGACACUGUGAAGACACUUGCACACCCAUGUUCAUUGCCGCGCUAUUUAUUCACAACAGCCAAGUUGAAGAAACAGCCUGCACUGGAUGAACAGAUCCUAAAAUGGGGUCUCCAGAACAGAAGGCUGAAGACCACCCUGAAGGCAGCCACGCCUCUGAAGCCCCCGCUGGCAGCCACAAGCUGCGGGAGGGGCAGUCGGCCAUCUGCUACGACCGUGCGGAGGAGGAGCUGAUGGCCAGCAUCGAGCGCGAGUACUGCCGCUGAGCUGCCCAGCCCGGGCGUGGAGGAGGCGGACCCCUCCCUCCCCAGCCACCUUCAGAUGUGGCUGAGUCCGGAUCUGACCAAGCGACCUUCCCAGGCUCCCAGUGAAGCGUCCUGCACGUGGCCAAGCGCGGCCCGUGGGCACGGAGGCCUGCCAGCCUGUGGGUUGGUGAUGUUGCAGGAGGGAAGGCCGCAUGCCCUGUGGCAGAGGUGUGGGCCCCUCAUUCUGGGGGGCCCGGAGUGCUUCCCCACUCUCCGGGUGGGGCAGGGCCUCACUGAACCCCUCUAGUCCCCUGUCCUAAAGCUUCUGGAAGGUUCUACGGUAGAGCUUACCCGGGGUGGGGGGGAGGGAGGGUGCCCUGAGUCUUUACGCUGACUUCUCAGAGUUAGCCUGGUGUACCCCAGUUCUCAAGGGGUGAGGCCAGCUGUAGCUCCUGCAUUUCUACAGGCUCUCAGGCAGGAGGAGCUGCCGGUGGCCCUGCUGUAGUCUGAGAUUUCAAGUCCUGAGCUGUGCACCUUGCGCUGCUCUCUCCCUGGCCCUGCUGGCACAUGGUAGGAGAGCCCCAGAGCCCAGAGCUUGUGGCAUUGGCUACAAGCUAUGCAUUAGCCUGCUGGGGUGUACAGAGCUGUCACUUUGCCUUUCUGGGCCUCAGUUUCCCUCCCUGGGAGGGAGAUGCUUCCUGGGACCCCUGUGGCUUGCCUGCCCUGCUGAGGAGCCAGGUCUUCAUGCAGCGCACUCUCCAGGGUCCCCUCAGCCAGCCCGCAGCCUGGCUAAUGCCCAUGGACCUUCCCCCUUGGUUCCUUGUUGAUAACUGAUUUGCUAACAGCCUUGUGAACACAGCUGCCUCCAGCUGGGAGGGCGUGGCCUGUGUGGGGCGGGGCUCCCCCCCCAGCAGCUGGCCGGCCACAGGGGGGGGGGAGGCUGUCCACCAAGGGGUGCCAGGGUGCCUGGCAGCUUUUGCUGCAGCCAGAACAGGCCCCACUUAUCUCAUUCCCGCACCAACAGCGGCCUUCACAGCAUUCUCCAUUUCCCGAGACCUUGCCCAGGCGACCUCAGGACGAAGCCCAGCACAUCUGUGGAACCAAUGAGAAGACAGCGCCCCGCCUGGCCUCAGCCACAGGCCCUUGCCACCGCAGCAGUCCAGCUCCAGCAGGGCCUUUCCCAACUGGACAAGAGUGCCUUUGAUCCCCGUGCACCACGGGGACACGGACUGUAGGCCGGAGCCCAGAGCCCUGGAGCCCAGCGCCUCCCAGAGCCAGGAGCUGCUCCUCACUGAGCCCCACACUUUCUUCCCAGAGACCAAAGUCCUUUCUGUUUUUAGUAAUACAAAUAAUACAAAUCCUUAUUUUUUUUUAAAGAAAGGGUCUCAUCUCAUAGAAAUAAGAUGCUAUUGCAGAUGAUCAGCCUUUGAACGGCAAGCUUAUGUCACCGUUUCCUUAGACUAGGGAGUGUCCGAUGGUUCCCAGGAAGAAAGACGGUAACACUGCAUUUCCUGUAGGAAUCCAACAGUCUGAGAGCAGAGUGUUAAGAACAGUAUGGGCUUGUCUGUGCCAUGCCAGCGUGAAUGCAGCGCCCGCAGCCUGCAGUCACAGCGCUGGUCUCUUUAUUAAAAAAAAAUUUUUUGGCCUAA